AUCCAGCAACUCUCAAUUGAUGGAUACCUCAUUUUAGGGUUUCGAUGUUUUCUGCUUGCUUCUUCUAGUGUUCUGAGAUUUAGCUGCGAUGAAGAGAAACGAGGAAAAGUUACGAUGAUUGCGUAUCGAUUUCGCAAGAUGAUUCACUUCUUUCUUAAUCUGGGUUUUAAUCUGCACGUAGCACCCCGGGCUUCUCUGAAAUAACUAAUUGGAUGAAGAAUAAAGCCCCAAUGCUCGUGCUAAAUCAGAUUUAUUGCCGUUAAGUGUUGCAGUUCAGCCUUUUUGUACCUUUUUUGAUGGCCGUUUCUGUGUCAAAUCGACAGCUACAUAUUAUCAAUUAUAGGUUAAAUUUCAUAUUCUUUGUCUCAUUUUUUCCAGAAGGAGGUAUAUACGUAAGUAUUUGCGUUUUACUGCUUUGUUUUUGUCGGCAAUGACUUGAUUGAUUUAUCCGUGCUUCUGAGAACAAUCAAUGAAGUACAUGAUAUAAAAAUGGUUGAAUUUCUUGAUAU